rnacentral:rRNA from 1 species
GAUGAACGCUGGCGGCGUGCCUAAUACAUGCAAGUCGAGCGAACGGACGAGAAGCUUGCUUCUCUGAUGUUAGCGGCGGACGGGUGAGUAACACGUGGAUAACCUACCUAUAAGACUGGGAUAACUUCGGGAAACCGGAGCUAAUACCGGAUAAUAUUUUGAACCGCAUGGUUCAACAGUGAAAGACGGUCUUGCUGUCACUUAUAGAUGGAUCCGCGCUGCAUUAGCUAGUUGGUAAGGUAACGGCUUACCAAGGCAACGAUGCGUAGCCGACCUGAGAGGGUGAUCGGCCACACUGGAACUGAGACACGGUCCAGACUCCUACGGGAGGCAGCAGUAGGGAAUCUUCCGCAAUGGGCGAAAGCCUGACGGAGCAACGCCGCGUGAGUGAUGAAGGUCUUCGGAUCGUAAAACUCUGUUAUUAGGGAAGAACAUAUGUGUAAGUAACUGUGCACAUCUUGACGGUACCUAAUCAGAAAGCCACGGCUAACUACGUG